CCUAGAUAUUCUUCGAUCUAGUUAGCGUACAAGUAGAUCCAGGGAGAUCUCCUUCGAAGUUUCGAGUUUCUGGACCUCUCCGGUGAUCAUCUCUGGCCAUGAAAAUCUAACAGGUUGCAUUGUUAUGGAUGGAAAUUUGCAAAUCAGUGGUGGUGCAUUGGUGGUAUCAAAAGCUGCAAGCCUGCAAUAGACAAUUAAAAGCCUGAAAAAUCAAACCAAAGCUGCUUUUGAUUUUUGUUGCCCCCAAAGCUAAUUAAUGCUUUUGAUUUUGUUGCCCCCAAAA